rnacentral:lncRNA from 1 species
GUUUAUUGUGGUCAUAGGAUGGAUGACGAAAGUCAAGAUAGUAAUUCCUUGAUCCAAGAGACGAUGGACUCUAGCGAGGAGUACACAGACAGUGAGAUGAUAAGAGAUUUGUUAGUUAGGAAUGACGACUUAAAUGUUAGAGCUGAGCAAGCGGAGGCACGGAAUCGUACUCUCCAGAUUUCGGAACAGCAGUACAAGGACGCUGCUGACCG